AUGGCCAUAUCACGUUGAAACACCUGUUCUCGGACGAUCACUGAAAUGAAGCAAAGUAGAGCCUGGUCAGUACCUAAAUGGGUGACUGCUUGGGAAUACCAGGUGCUGUAAG